rnacentral:rRNA from 1 species
CAGAGAGAGCGGCGUACGGGUGCGGAACACGUGUGCAACCUGCCUUUAUCAGGGGGAUAGCCUUUCGAAAGGAAGAUUAAUACCCCAUAAUAUAUUGAAUGGCAUCAUUUGAUAUUGAAAACUCCGGUGGAUAGAGAUGGGCACGCGCAAGAUUAGAUAGUUGGUGAGGUAACGGCUCACCAAGUCAGUGAUCUUUAGGGGGCCUGAGAGGGUGAUCCCCCACACUGGUACUGAGACACGGACCAGACUCCUACGGGAGGCAGCAGUGAGGAAUAUUGGACAAUGGGUGAGAGCCUGAUCCAGCCAUCCCGCGUGAAGGACGACGGUUCUAUGGAUUGUAAACUUCUUUUAUACUGGGAUAAACCUACCCUCGUGAGGGUAGCUGAAGGUACAGUAUGAAUAAGCACCGGCUAACUCCGUGCCAGCAGCCGCGGUAAUACGGAGGGUGCAAGCGUUAUCCGGAUUUAUUGGGUUUAAAGGGUCCGUAGGCGGAUCUGUAAGUCAGUGGUGAAAUCUCAUAGCUUAACUAUGAAACUGCCAUUGAUACUGCAGGUCUUGAGUAAAGUAGAAGUGGCUGGAAUAAGUAGUGUAGCGGUGAAAUGCAUAGAUAUUACUUAGAACACCAAUUGCGAAGGCAGGUCACUAUGUUUUAACUGACGCUGAUGGACGAAAGCGUGGGGAGCGAACAGGAUUAGAUACCCUGGUAGUCCACGCCGUAAACGAUGCUAACUCGUUUUUGGGUUUUCGGAUUCAGAGACUAAGCGAAAGUGAUAAGUUAGCCACCUGGGGAGUACGUUCGCAAGAAUGAAACUCAAAGGAAUUGACGGGGGCCCGCACAAGCGGUGGAUUAUGUGGUUUAAUUCGAUGAUACGCGAGGAACCUUACCAAGGCUUAAAUGGGAAUUGACAGGUUUAGAAAUAGACUUUUCUUCGGACAAUUUUCAAGGUGCUGCAUGGUUGUCGUCAGCUCGUGCCGUGAGGUGUUAGGUUAAGUCCUGCAACGAGCGCAACCCCUGUCACUAGUUGCCAUCAUUCAGUUGGGGACUCUAGUGAGACUGCCUACGCAAGUAGAGAGGAAGGUGGGGAUGACGUCAAAUCAUCACGGCCCUUACGCCUUGGGCCACACACGUAAUACAAUGGCCAGUACAGAGGGCAGCUACCAGGCGACUGGAUGCGAAUCUCGAAAGCUGGUCUCAGUUCGGAUUGGAGUCUGCAACUCGACU